UACGAAGGGGGCUAGCGUUGUUCGGAAUUACUGGGCGUAAAGCGCACGUGGGCGGACCAUUUAGUCAGUGGUGAAAUCCCGGGGCUCAACCCCGGAACUGCCUUUGAUACUGAUGGUCUUGAGGUCGAGAGAGGUGAGUGGAAUUGCGAGUGUAGAGGUGAAAUUCGUAGAUAUUCGCAGGAACACCAGUGGCGAAGGCGGCUCACUGGCUCGAUACUGACGCUGAGGUGCGAAAGCGUGGGUAGCAAACAGG
rnacentral:misc_RNA from 1 species